rnacentral:misc_RNA from 1 species
UUUCCGUAGGUGAACCUGCGGAAGGAUCAUUAUUGUAUAACCGAGGUGCGAGGGCUGUCGCUGACCCGACAGGUCGUGCACGCCCGAGUGCCCUCACACACAUCCAUCUCACCCCUAUGUGCACCACCGCGUGGGUCCCCCUUUGGCUUGUUCGGAGGGGGGCUUACGUUUUCACACAAACUUUGUAUGCAGUGUAGAAUGUAUUUUUGUUUUUGCGAUCACGCAAUCAAUACAACUUUCAACAACGGAUCUCUUGGCUCUC